GAACGGUAGCACAAAGGAGCUUGCUCCUUGGGUGACGAGUGGCGGACGGGUGAGUAAUGCUUGGGAAUCUGGCUUAUGGAGGGGGAUAACUACGGGAAACUGUAGCUAAUACCGCGUAAUAUCUUAGGAUUAAAGUGUGGGACCGCAAGGCCACAUGCCAUGAGAUGAGCCCAAGUGGGAUUAGGUAGUUGGUGGGGUAAAGGCCUACCAAGCCGACGAUCUCUAGCUGGUCUGAGAGGAUGACCAGCCACACUGGAACUGAGACACGGUCCAGACUC
rnacentral:rRNA from 1 species